UACGUAGGUGGCAAGCGUUUGUCCGGAUUUAUUGGGUUUAAAGGGUGCGUAGGCGGUUCUAUAAGUCAGUGGUGAAAUCCGGCAGCUCAACUGUCGAUGUGCCAUUGAUACUGCAGAACUUGAGUACAGACGAGGUAGGCGGAAUUGACGGUGUAGCGGUGAAAUGCUUAGAUAUCGUCAAGAACACCGAUAGCGAAGGCAGCUUACUAGACUGUAACUGACGCUGAUGCACGAAAAGUGUGGGGGAUCAAAACAGG
rnacentral:rRNA from 1 species